rnacentral:rRNA from 1 species
UCAAUUGGAGGGCAAGUCUGGUGCCAGCAGCCGCGGUAAUUCCAGCUCCAAUAGCGUAUAUUAAACUUGUUGCAGUUAAAAAGCUCGUAGUUGAAUUUCUGCUGUAUCGUUUUCCUCUGCUUGACAGUUGGAUUUCGUUAUGGCUUAGUUGGGUUACAGCUCUUGUUACCCAACGUUUACUUUGAGAAAAUUAGAGUGCUUCAAGCAGGCUUUUGCCUUGAAUACUUUAGCAUGGAAUAAUGGAGUAGGACUUUGGUUCUAUUUUGUUGGUUUUAGGAGCCAGAGUAAUGGUUAAUAGGAACAGUUGGGGGCAUUCGUAUUUGACUGUCAGAGGUGAAAUUCUUA